rnacentral:rRNA from 1 species
GAUGAACGCUGGCGGCGUGCCUAAUACAUGCAAGUCGAGCGAACAGACGAGGAGCUUGCUCCUCUGACGUUAGCGGCGGACGGGUGAGUAACACGUGGAUAACCUACCUAUAAGACUGGGAUAACUUCGGGAAACCGGAGCUAAUACCGGAUAAUAUAUUGAACCGCAUGGUUCUAUAGUGAAAGACGGUUUUGCUAUCACUUAUAGAUGGAUCCGCGCCGCAUUAGCUAGUUGGUAAGGUAACGGCUUACCAAGGCAACGAUGCGUAGCCGACCUGAGAGGGUGAUCGGCCACACUGGAACUGAGACACGGUCCAGACUCCUACGGGAGGCAGCAGUAGGGAAUCUUCCGCAAUGGGCGAAAGCCUGACGGAGCAACGCCGCGUGAGUGAUGAAGGGUUUCGGAUCGUAAAACUCUGUUAUUAGGGAAGAACAAAUGUGUAAGUAACUAUGCACGUCUUGACGGUACCUAAUCAGAAAGCCACGGCUAACUACGUG